UACGUAGGGGGCAAGCGUUGUCCGGAUUUAUUGGGCGUAAAGAGCGUGUAGGCGGCCAUUCAGGUCAGCUGUGAAAACUCGAGGCUCAACCUCGAGACGUCGGUUGAAACCGUUUGGCUAGAGUCCGGAAGAGGAGAGUGGAAUUCCCGGUGUAGCGGUGAAAUGCGCAGAUAUCGGGAAGAACACGCGUGGCGAAGGCGGCGACCUGGGCUAAUACUGACGCUGAGGUGCGAAAGCGUGGGGAGCAAACAGG
rnacentral:rRNA from 1 species